UACGUAGGGGGCAAGCGUUGUCCGGAAUUACUGGGCGUAAAGAGCUCGUAGGUGGUUUGUCGCGUUGUCCGUGAAAACUCACAGCUCAACUGUGGGCGUGCGGGCGAUACGGGCAGACUGGAGUACUGCAGGGGAGACUGGAAUUCCUGGUGUAGCGGUGGAAUGCGCAGAUAUCAGGAGGAACACCGGUGACGAAGGCGGGUCUCUGGGCAGUAACUGACGCUGAGGAGCGAAAGCGUGGGGAGCGAACAGG
rnacentral:rRNA from 1 species